GGCAAAUUGAAAGCAGACUGUUUUUGAUUGCGAAAGAAGUGCAUUCGAAUUCAAUGUUCUGUCACAAUCACAUGAAAGUAUCAAGAUUGCGUCUGUAUCUGAGAAACUGAACAGUGAAUCGGAAACAUUAGGAAAAGAAUUCGAAGACAGACAAUUAUUACACAACGAUGUGUUCCUCUAAUAAUACAGAAUCAUCCCAAUCAAUAAACCAGAACAAACUCUAACCAUACCCAGUAAUCAACAUGGAUCAAGAAUUAAGCUAGUAAUGAUCUGAAGAAUCUAAUAUUAAUUAAAAACCCAAAAUUAUAAACAUGUCCUAUAAGCUUGUCUUAUACUUGCAGUUCUGAUCUCCAACCGUAGCAUUGGAAACAAAGACACUGAAAUCGCAGGUAGUUGUCGUGUGUACAGUCACUUUAAAUAUAUUAAAAAUUGAAACUUUACCAGAAAGUUUGAUCAAUGUGCUCAACUUCAUCACACCCGACAUCACAUCGGUAUAAAGCUGGGAAUUAGAGAGCAAGCGAUCUGCCAUCACCGUGACUGUUACAUUCAUGGGUUUGGUUUCGUCGGCGCCAAUCUUGCCGGCGGGAAUCGGAACAUCCCCCACAACUUCACCUCUGUAAUUCAACAAAGCAGAACCGUUCUUGAACUUGAACCCCACGUUGUUUGGGUUCUUGACGGUGAGAUCCACGUCCAAGGUCAAAUUCAGAUCGACGCCCAACCUGGCCAAGUCCAAGGACACACGCAGGUUAUCUAGAGCGAUUGAGUCGAUGGUGGUAGAGGGUUCUUUGGCUUUGAACACCGUUAAUGCCAAGAUCACCACAACCAGAACGAAAACGACGAUGACAGCCGCCGUCACACCAAGACAGAUGUUUCUACGUCUGUGUUUGCUUUUGUUUUUGGGUGGAAUUUGAGCUUCGGCAUCUUUCGUCUCUUUUGCUGCUUUUGAUGAAUUUAAAACUGUUUCCUCCGCCUUCUCCAUCUUCUGCUCCAGUACUUGGUGUGAGUCUUGGAUCUUUCUAAAACUUUCUAAUUUCCAACCGAAAAUUUCUUGGGCUACUGAGGAUGGUGCCAAUACUUGCAGGUUCUCAGAUUUUCCGAUGCCUAUAAAUAUAUAAGUCGGUGGGCUCAAAACGGUAUAUUUUUUUAGAAUAUAAUGUUGCUGGAGUCUUGGGCUGAAACUUGAAAGGGUAGUCUGGUCUAAUUCAGAAGUUGUUUGGGGACUAGGACUUGGGGUGAAGGUAAAACUUAAAAGACCACGCUACCUACACGGUGCUGUGUUGGAAGUGGAGCGGUAAUGGUGUUCGCUGUUCUUCAGUUGUUUGAGCCCAAAAUAUCUUCUUCUCAAGGAGAUUGAUGGUGAUGAACGAUAAUGAUACUUGGCUCAAACUGGAAGGAAGCAUGGAAAGUAACAUGAUGAAGAUUGCGUGCAAGAAUUUUAAUGCUUUUUUGUUUUACAUAAUAAAAUAAAAUGUUGAAAAAUUUUAGUGACUUUGCAACCUUAAUUUGCAUUUGCAAUGGCUAGAAAAAAAGCCUUGUUGUUAGGAUGUCUUGAUCCUCUUUUGCUCAUUUUCUUGGGUUACAACUUGCCCUGGCACAUGAUCAGAUAAUUGAGUGGCUCACUUGUAUAAUGUGCGUUUUAUUUAUUUAUUUUCUUCAUAUAAAAUAUGCUUGCCCGUUUGAAUGAG
rnacentral:misc_RNA from 1 species